GCUUAUAGGUUGGAGUAAUGAGACAAUAUUACAUACGUCUUAUUUCAUUUAGCUAAGUUAGGCCUCUGUUAUUAGUUUAUUGCAGUCGAAACUCUGUCUCGUGACUGCCAGACUGCCAUAGUGUCGUUAGAAAUAAAGCUUUGCCUCUCCUUGUAAUGCUUCCAGGAUACAUAUGUCUACUGUUCAGACAUCAUGACGAUAGAAAACAUUAGUAUCACUGGACGUAAGAUGAACUCAAAUCCAUAAUACCCCACCUCCAGAAAAAUCUACAACUCACGAUACAUAGUUUUGCCUAUCUCCAAGCCACAAACAGAAAAACAGUAUGAAGAGUAUACAUAAACAUCAGAGAAACAUUGUCGAAUUAGGACUUACCUUUAGUCUGUACUCUGUAACAACUGUCGAAUUUUGAUAAAGGUUUUUACACCUUCUGUAGGUAACAAAGCCUCUUUCAAAUGUGUGAUGCUAUCUUUGACAGAAAAUGCAUAAGAUUUUCUCCGUUAACAAUGGUAUUAGAAAUCUAGAAAGAUAAGAUUGACAUCUUAUUCCCCCUUUUAUCAUCGUUGCAGAAGGAAAUCUCCCAUAUAAAACCCUCGAUAAC
rnacentral:lncRNA from 1 species